rnacentral:rRNA from 1 species
GACGAACGCUGGCGGCGUGCUUAACACAUGCAAGUCGUACGGUAAGGCCCUUUCGGGGGUACACGAGUGGCGAACGGGUGAGUAACACGUGAGUAACCUGCCCACAACUUUGGGAUAACGCUAGGAAACUGGUGCUAAUACUGGAUAUGUGCUCCUGCUGCAUGGUGGGGGUUGGAAAGCUCCGGCGGUUGUGGAUGGACUCGCGGCCUAUCAGCUUGUUGGUGGGGUAGUGGCCUACCAAGGCGGCGACGGGUAGCCGGCCUGAGAGGGUGACCGGCCACAUUGGGACUGAGAUACGGCCCAGACUCCUACGGGAGGCAGCAGUGGGGAAUAUUGCACAAUGGGCGCAAGCCUGAUGCAGCAACGCCGCGUGCGGGAUGACGGCCUUCGGGUUGUAAAACGCUUUCAGCAGGGACGAAGCUUUUUGUGACGGUACCUGCAGAAGAAGCACCGGCUAACUACGUG